rnacentral:rRNA from 1 species
CUGCCUACGGGAGGCAGCAGUGAGGAAUAUUGGUCAAUGGACGCAAGUCUGAACCAGCCAUGCCGCGUGCAGGAAGACGGCUCUAUGAGUUGUAAACUGCUUUUGUACGAGGGUAAACGCAGAUACGCGUAUCUGUCUGAAAGUAUCGUACGAAUAAGGAUCGGCUAACUCCGUGCCAGCAGCCGCGGUAAUACGGAGGAUUCAAGCGUUAUCCGGAUUUAUUGGGUUUAAAGGGUGCGUAGGCGGAAUGCCAAGUCAGCGGUAAAAUCGCGGGGCUCAACCUCGCUCCGCCGUUGAAACUGGCG